GUGGCUGUGGCUCAGUGGUGGAGCACCUGCCUAGCAUGAAUAAGGCCCUGGGUUCAAUUCCCAGCACCACA
rnacentral:tRNA from 1 species